GACGAACGCUGGCGGCGUGCUUAACACAUGCAAGUCGAGCGAAAAGGCGCGGCUUUUGUGGGGUUCUCGAUUGGCGAGCAGGUGAGUAACACAUGUGUAACCUGCACUUAUAUUUGGGAUAACUUCUGGGAAAUGGGGCUCAUACCCCAUAGAAGCUCCUGCUGCAUGUUGGUGGUUGGAGAGUUUCGGCGGUGCGGGCUGGUAUCGCGGGUUAUCAGCUGCUUUGGCUAGUAGUGGCUUACCAGGGCUUUGACGGGUAGCCGGCCUGAGAGGGUUACCGGCCACAAUGGGACUGCGAGACGGCGCAGAAUGCUACGGGCGGCAGCAGUGGGGAGUAUUGCACAAUGGGCGGACGUCUGAUGUAGCAACGCCGCGUGCGGGAUGACGUGCUUCGGGGUGUAAACCGCUUUCGACUGUGACGAAGCGUGAGUGACGGUAAUGGGUAAAGAAGCAACGGCUAACUACGUG
rnacentral:rRNA from 1 species